rnacentral:lncRNA from 1 species
UCCCAUAUGGGUGCCGGUUCUAGUCCCUGCUGCUCCUCUUCCGAUCCAGCUCUCUGCUGUGGCCUGGGAAAGCAGUAGAGGAUGACCCAAGUCCUUGGGCCCCUGCACCCAUGUGGGAGGCCUGGAAGAAGUUGCUGGUUCCUGGCUUUGGAUCGGCACAGCUCCGGCUGUUGCAGCCAUCCUGGGAAUGAACCAGCCGAUGGAAAACCUCUCUCUCUGUCUCAACCUCUAUCUGUAACUUUGUCUUUCAAAUAACUGAAAUAAAUCUUUAAAAAAAGAUUUUGAAAGGAAAGAGAGAGUCAGAGAGAAUCUUCUAUCUGCAAGUUUACUCCCCAAAUGGCCACCACAGCCAGGGCUGGGCCAGGUUGAACCCAGGAGCCUGGAGCUCCUUCUGGGUCUCCCAUGUGGGUGGCAAGGACCCAAGUGUUUGGACCAUCUUCUGCUGCUUUCCCAGGCACAGUAGCAGGAAUCUGGAUCUGAAACACAGUAGCUGGGACGUGAACCAUUGCUCUGCUAUGAGAUGACAGCGUUGCAAGCAGCAGCUCAGCUGGCUGCACUGCCACACCAGUCCCUACAAGAAUCUAACGAAUUUCAUUUUGUCUUUGUUAAGUUUGUGUUUGAUGCGGGGGUCUGAAGCUCAGAAGGGAAGUCUGAGUUGGAGAAAUGAAUCUAGCAAUUGUGAGCACAUAGUUUCUUAAUGGCAUCAGAAUGGGCAUAAUCACCCAGGAGAAAGUGGAAAAGAACUUAUUACGAUCUGCAUUUUAAACGAGGAGAAAACUGAAGGUGGGGGAGGUUCUGCUACCAGUGAAUGAUGGAAUCAAAAUUCACUCCAAGAUCCACAAGAGUAGCCACUAUUAUUUUUGUGUUGUUGUUAUGGCUGCGAUUUCUUACAGAGGUUAAGGACCUGGCUCAAUUACAUUUCUGUUAAGACCAGCUUAGCACCCUAAACAGCACCGUAACAAUCCUCUGGGAUGAUACUCCAGUGCCCUGGGAAACCCCAAAGCUCUACUUCCCACCUGUCAUUCUAAAGUACUUAUCCUGUCCCGGGAACUCCGGUCCCUGUUCCUUUGCCCAGCACCUAGUUGCUUCUGCCUCUUUGCCAGAUCCUGUGGCCUGGAGCUUCAGGGAGACGCUCUGUCUGGCAUGUUCCCUGCUUUGCCUGUGGAUGCUCACUUCCUGUCCCUUGGCUCCAUCCGUUACUGCCCAGGGGCCAGUCUUACCUCGUGGCUUUGAGAUGUUUCCUGGCUGCCAGAUCCCUAGAGCAGGUGAUGUUUGGUUCUACCAGGUAACCUUUACCUCCCCAUUCUAAGUGAAGGUCCAGUUCUCGGCACACCUGGCUCACAGAGAAGCAAAGUCCUGUUUUGUUGACGUACUUAAG